UACGUAGGGGGCAAGCGUUGUCCGGAAUCAUUGGGCGUAAAGCGCGUGUAGGCGGCUCGAUAAGUCUGCUGUGAAAGUCCAGGCUCAACCCUGGGAUGCCGGUGGAUACUGUCGAGCUCGAGUCCGGAAGAGGCGAGUGGAAUUCCUGGUGUAGCGGUGAAAUGCGCAGAUAUCAGGAGGAACACCAAUGGCGAAGGCAGCUCGCUGGGACGGUACUGACGCUGAGACGCGAAAGCGUGGGGGAGCGAACAGG
rnacentral:rRNA from 1 species